rnacentral:rRNA from 1 species
ACUCCUACGGGAGGCAGCAGCUAAGAAUCUUCCGCAAUGGACGAAAGUCUGACGGAGCGACGCCGCGUGGGUGAAGAAGGCAGGAAUGUUGUAAAGCCCUUUUAUAGCUGAGGAAUAAGGAUGGGAGGUAAUGCCCGUCUGAUGACGUUAAGCUAUGAAUAAGCCCCGGCUAAUUACGUGCCAGCAGCCGCGGUAACACGUAAGGGGCGAGCGUUGUUCGGAAUUAUUGGGCGUAAAGGGUGCGCAGGCGGCCCGUCAAGUCUGGUGUGAAAGACCGCAGCUUAACUGCGGACACGCAUUGGAAACUGGCAGGCUUGAGUACUGGAGGGGGAACUGGAAUUCCAGGUGUAGGGGUGAAAUCUGUAGAUAUCUGGAAGAACACCGGUGGCGAAGGCGAGUUCCUGGCCAUGUACUGACGCUGAGGCACGAAAGCGUGGGGAGCGAACAGGAUUAGAUACCCCAGUAGUCC